UUGAGACAGCACAGAAAUGCAGAGACUCUUAUGCAAGCCUGGGAAGCAGGGGGUUAACAGGAGGAAACUUACAAUGGGUUUUCAAACCUGAAAGAUUUCUCUCCAGAAAUAACUGAAAAUUGCUUUUGAUUUACAAGACCUGCUGAAAAUACUUCCCAGAGGCUGCAGAUUGGUGUAACUGUGAACAACCUUGACUAAUACUCCUAUGAAGAAUUGCAGUAAUAUCUGUGAAAAAAUGCAUGGAUUAUAUUUCCAAGUCCCAUGUUAGACAUCAGUAGCCACCACUCAGCAGUGUGCCUUCAGUAAGAUAAAGGAAGAAAAGAAAUAGAUAUAACCAUGCAAAUGUCCCUGUGCUCUGCCUCCGGCUAUAAGCUUAAGAAUUAAAAGCUUGACAACGCUGAGUUGUAGACAACACCCCUUCAGUGCUUUCUGGCUCAGUGGCUCUGUGAAGACCUCUUUGAAGGUGCAGCUUUUCAAAAAAGACUCUGCAGCAGCACAACCGAAAUGUUUGCUGCUAAAUAUAGAAAUGCACUUGCUUUGAGCGUGGCUGGUUUGCUUCAGGUUCACCUUUGGAGCUGCAUUUAUAGAUACAGUAUGGAUUUUAAGGAGGAAAAAUGAGAGGAAUAAACACAACGCUUUGGUGAGCAGAAGCAGAGACUGCAACAACCAGACCCUGCAGUGGCUCUCAAGACUGGACAUCUGCUGCUUCAGGGAAUGUCUGGUUUUCUACCUGUGCCUUCCAGGGCAGCUGUGGGGAAAUUGUGCAUCUAGGUAGAAGCAAAGCCUUGGAGGUGCAGGGGCUUCAUACCUGCUCCUGUUUUCCUGCCUUCACUCCUUAAUCAGUAGGGACACCAUGGCCCUUUCUCUGGGCAAGUCGGUUCAAGGCCAAGUUGGAUGGGGCUUUGAGCAACCUGGUCAAGUAGGUGCUGUUCUUUCCCCCCCUGGAAAUUGGAACUAGAUGAUAUUUAGGGUCCUUUUUUAACCCAAACCAUUCUGUGAUUUUAUGAUUUGUCUGCCUACAGUCAGAUAGAAAAAAAACAACAGGACCAAAGCAUAUAUCAGUCUUUAUCCUGUGGCAUAAAUAUGUUUCUUCUUCAAAC
rnacentral:lncRNA from 1 species